AAUAAUAAAUUAAUAAAAUUAAUAAAAGAGAAAAAAAUUCAAAAAUAUUAAAAUAUUAUUAAAAGUUGUCAACGUUAGCGCCGAUUAGGCCAUGUCAGCCGGCCAGCAUCCAAUCAACAAAAUCCGGCUACAAUUGGUUGGAAAUGACUGAAUUGGCACAACAUAAAAAUGUUUAGGACUAAAUUGACACCAAAAAGAGGUUUAGGACUAAAUCGGCACAAAGACAAAAUGUUUAGGACUUUUUUGGCACUUUUCCCCCGAUAAUAUGAUCGGGCGAAAAUCAGAAUUUUAGGACAGAGCUGUUUUUUCUUUUUUCUUUUUUUUUUGGGAUGUUAGUGCAGAUUUGCUACAUAGGAAAAGAAAGUAUUUACUUUGUGACGUGCUUAUCUAAUUAAAUGCAUGACACGUACACUUUCUAGUUACCAUAUUUACCAAAAAGAUUCAAAUGUAAGUAAAUACAUAUACCAAGACACAUGUCCUCAAUAUCAAACUUUCUUUUUCUCUUUUUUAGUUUCUAUGAAUUCUAAAAUAUAACUUGGGAGAAUUUUUUAAGGAUUUUUCAUGAAAUCAAACCAUGAAGAAGGUGCAGAGAGAGAUGAAGGCAGGUGUCUGUUUAUAUAUGACGAAGAUCCACCAACACUAGUGUAAGCAUAUCUUUUGGAUGCGCAAAAAACUGCAAGUGGAUAGCGAUUCUCACGGCCGUCGAGGAAUGUUGGAUAUGCUUCUCGACAGAUGAAUUCCUACAAUGGUGUACUUACAAAUAAAAGUGGAUCCGUGUGGUGUAGAAUUACAUUUUCUCAUAUGACGUAUACCUUUUGCAUACAUUUAACCUUAAAAUCAGCUUUAGUCUUACACCCAUGUCAAUUGAAACGAACUAUUGCGUUGAAUUUGUUAAUAUGUACUUGCUCAAUAAAUGUGACUACUAUACAUUAUAUGCUAUGUGUUGUUUA